rnacentral:rRNA from 1 species
AUGUUCCAAUUCAAAUGUGUAGAGCGCAUAUGCAUAAUGGUUUUUCUUUCUUUUAAUGCAGCAAAACAAAGAAAUACUGGAAAGGUGCAUUGGAUUGAUGAAGAGAAGUCACACUAUUGUGCUACUAGAGGCAGAAGACUUACAGCCAGCACAAGAAAAGGAAUUACUUCCAUUAUGAUUAGAGUCGACUUCACUCCAACAGCACUAAAGAAUCCCAUUGAUCCUAAAACUGAAAGCAUCACUAGGACAACGCCAGAUAAGCCAAGCAGUACCUGCAAUUUAUCUCGUCAAAUGAAACAUAAUGCAACACAUGUUUGA